rnacentral:rRNA from 1 species
AUAUAAAUUAAUAAGGUUUAGUGAAAGAAUUAAUUAAUUUUUAGUUUAAGUAAAAAUACUUAAAUAUAUUUAAGGGACGAUAAGACCCUAAAAUCUUGAAUUAGAGAAAGUAAAAUUUUUAUUGGUUAAGUUUUUUAUUUGUUUAGUGGUUUUAGCUGGGGUAGUUUUUUUAUGGGGAUUAAUAUUAGAUAUUACUAUUAGGUUUAAAGGUCCUUUUCAUAAGGAAUAGUAGAAUUAGUUACUUUAGGGGUAACAGCGUAAUAUUUUUAGAGAGUUCAUAUUUAUAAAUAAUGAUUGCGACCUCGAUGUUGAAUUAAAUAAGCUUUAUAGGGCAGAAUAUAUAAAGUAAAGGUUUGUUCAACCUUUAGUAUUUUACAUGAUUU